UAGGGAAUCUUCCGCAAUGGACGCAAGUCUGACGGAGCAACGCCGCGUGAGUGAAGAAGGAUUUCGGUUCGUAAAACUCUGUUGUUAGAGAAGAACAGCGCAUAGAGUAACUGUUAUGCGUGUGACGGUAUCUAACCAGAAAGCCACGGCUAACUACGUGCCAGCAGCCGCGGUAAUACGUAGGUGGCAAGCGUUGUCCGGAUUUAUUGGGCGUAAAGCGAGCGCAGGCGGUCAAUUAAGUCUGAUGUGAAAGCCCCCGGCUCAACCGGGGAGGGUCAUUGGAAACUGGUUGACUUGAGUGCAGAAGAGGAGAGUGGAAUUCCAUGUGUAGCGGUGAAAUGCGUAGAUAUAUGGAGGAACGCCAGUGGCGAGUGCGACUCUCUGGUCUGUAACUGACGCUGAGGCUCGAAAGCGUGGGUAGCAAACAGG
rnacentral:rRNA from 1 species